rnacentral:tRNA from 1 species
GGGGCCAUAGUUAAACGGUAUAACGUUAGCUUUGCAAGCUUAAAUUCGGGGUUCGAUUCCCCGUGGCUCCACCA